rnacentral:lncRNA from 1 species
CUUUUGAAUGUGUGACCACCCCUUUCACUCCCAGCAACGACUGUGCCAUUACCCUUUCAAAUCAAUAAAGCAGCAGCUUCUCCUUGAGUUUGUUACACUCCCCCCAGGUUAGAAGUUAUGUCCUGGGGCUAUACUUGCUUCACCCCAAGCUGGGAAAAAGAAGUUCCUCUCCUCAUUAAUGGAAACACUCACACUCCAUUGCAAACCGCCAUUUUCUAGGCUCCCUACCUACCACUUCCCCGUUUUCACCAGGUCCUAAAACACAAACACAACUUUUACUUGCCCUGCUAUCUGUUCUAACUGCUUCUUAAAUUCGACUCUUCUGCCCUUCUGGCCUCACCUAGGCUCUUCGAAUGGCUCUUCGAAUGGGCUUCCUCUCCAGCGAAUAGAGUCUUCCUGUUGCUCACCAUGCAGCCCUCUCCACUGCCUUCCCCAGCCUGGACAGGUGGCAAGCAGUUGGCGCUCGCCGCCCGCCCGCGAAGAAACUGCAAUGCAAACUUCCCAGCCUCGGAACCCUGCUGCUUGGAGAGCAGCUCCGCUGUGCCAGCUGCAGCCAGGAGACUGGUAUUCAACCUCCCCGCCCCCCGCCACGGUUAAAGUUUGCUCCACAUUCGCAGCUCCCACCCCACCCCCAUCUCCGCCCCGAGGCAGGAGGACCACAUAGGAGUUCCUGGAUCCACGGUGCGCAAACACACCCACCAACAAAAGAAAG